UGACGGCGCCUGCGUCUCUCCUGCGAUCAUCGAUCUAUUUCUUGUAACUACGUCACCGACGGCGGCCAUGCCUCUCCUGCUAGCCAUGCUGCAUCCAUGAAGAUGACGUCGCCCCAGUUUCUGCCCAGCAGGUCUCGGUGUCGAGCGCUCUCCAUCGGCCAUUCCACUCGUCAGAAUCGGCCGAAACUCAGCCGAGGAUGGAAGCCUAUUAUGACGUCCUCGUGUAACUAAAUAAAAGACGACGGCGGCGGCGGCGGCGGUGGUGGCCACAACGGCGACGACAAUGAGAUGAGGUGCUGCUGGUUGUACCAUUGAACUCUAUAACGUGGCGAAAGAUGAAGCGGCUCCCUUGUAUCUUCUUCCAAUCGACAUCGAUCACGGCAAGGUACAUAUGACCUUCGGCUAAUUCAUUUGCAUGCAUCCAUGAUGAGAUUACCUGCACUCCCUAUUACUUAUAUACUAAUUAUUAAUUUGCAUAUCAUGCAUGUAUGAUGUACAACUCAUUUUGAUCGAUUGCUCGUGAGAUGGGUUACGCCAGCCGGCGGCGCUUCUGCUCCACGCAUAUGGAUGUACUCACGUUUUCUCUGGCAGCGGCCAGACCUCCCUGAUUCAAUGGACUCCGACGACAUGAUCUACAUGAUGACUAUCUAAAUUGACGCGACAUGAUUUACCCAUCAUAUGUAAUAAGCACGCACAAAGCGUGAUAUGCUCACACAACUUUAGUCUUGUUAUUUGCGUGGACAAAUAUCAUUGUAAAGAAACCAUUUAUUCCCUGA